rnacentral:rRNA from 1 species
UACGGAGGGUGCGAGCGUUGUUCGGAAUCAUUGGGCGUAAAGCGCGUGUAGGCGGCUUGGCAAGUCGGUUGUGAAAUCCCGGGGCCCAACCCCGGAACUGCAAUCGAAACUGCCUCGCUAGAGUCCCGGAGAGGAAGGCGGAAUUCCCGGUGUAGAGGUGAAAUUCGUAGAUAUCGGGAGGAACACCAGUGGCGAAGGUGGCCUUCUGGACGGGGAUUGACUCUGAGACGCGAAAGCGUGGGGAGCAAACAGG